rnacentral:lncRNA from 1 species
GACAUUCGGAGCUGCUCUUCAGGGUUCUGGGCACGUCGCAUAUUGCGCCCCAGCCUUCUCAGCAGCCAGGAGCUGGGAGGUGGAGGGGCCUGUGGUCUGGCCGCCACCUAGCAGGCCUGCAUGGCCACCUCCAGCCGGGUGCAGGCUGGCUGGGGUGGGGCUGCCCUUGACCUUGGGCUCUCCCUCCUCCGCCAGAUCCUCAGGCGCUGGCUCAGCCUCCCACGGCCUGGGGGAGCCUCUGUCUGCUCCUUCCAGCCGUUCAAGGACGAGGCUUCCGAAAGACUCACUGUUCCUGUGUGGGGAACUGAGGCUGUGUGAAGGCUGGAUGAACCGCUGCUGUGGCCUGGUGAGAAAGAGGCUGUGGGCACCCACAGUGCCAGAGAGCCGUCCCCGCCGGGUUCUUUGUGUGUGUAGCCUCGUUUCUGCUUCUGUUUUCAUUGUGGGGCUUGGGAGGAAAUCGCCAACCUUCAGCACUGGGGCAGCCCCACCAUGGCCAGUGGUUUGUCAAUCCCUUUUGUCCCUGCCUGUGUCCAAAGUCUGGGGGCCGCCUGGGAACCUGAACAUCAUUGCCGUCUUCCUGGCCUGGGCCGUGGGCUCACUUUGUUAUUCCUCUUGGAAAUUUGGCCAGGCCACCUUGGAUGGGCCCCAGGCAGCAGGGGGCUACUGGAUGCCGUGUUCUGGAGGUUUCUGCGGGAGGGAAGGCGCCCAAAUGUAUAGCAGCUGGCCUUGACUGGGUUCGGUUUUGGUGAGGGAGUUUGAUUAGGCUUAGGGCCGCCUGGGCAUGAAACAGGAUCCCAAAACCUCAGCCCCAUGACUCUCCCACUCUCCCACCAGGGGAAGGCAGAUGUUUUGGGGCCGUGAUGGGCUGGCCUGGCGGUGCCGAGGUGCCUGGAGGCAGGACUGUUUCAGGACCCCGAUGGGGACGUAGAGGAUGCGGGAAGCCCAUGAGUGCCUCCUGUGCGCGAGCGCUUUGGUGAGCGCCGUGCAGCCGCCUUCUUGGUUGCUGGUGGACGUUCAGCCCUAAUACCCUGCUCUCUCGCCCGCAGCCCCAUCUGAAGCCCCUGAAAUUUGAACCUUGGUUUAGGGAUUUGGCCUGUUUGUCAGUGGGUUUUCCACAUGUGGUUUCCACAGGAACUUUUGCUGUUUAAGUGCUUUUUUAAACGAUGAAGUUAUCUUUUUCCUAUUGGGAUGAGCUCACUGGCUUUUGUGUGGGCUGCAGGCGCUGGGUGAUUGGAAGGGCCAUGGACUUCUGAACCCAGAGGAGAAGCCCUGUGUACAAAAGCCGCUGGGUCUCAGCAGUCCCCGAGGAGGUGGUUGUGAACGUAGCACCAACUUCUUUGAUCUUCUGAGAUCGCUGCGUUUUUCUAGUAAAGCCCCCAUGGAAAGCUUAGCAUGCAGGCAGGUGGGUCGUGGCCUCCCUCUUGAGUGAGCUGAAGGAUUUAAGAACUGUCAGCUUCCUAUAUUAUAGAUGGGAUGGGGUUUAACGUCUGCAGCAGCCAGACUUCGUAAGGGCCAAGAAACUUGUGUGACCUUGUGUGAUCUUGAGGGGCAGGGAGAAGACCUUUAGCUCAGAACGGCGCAAAGAAUUAACGCUGAGGAUGAAGCCAGGGAGGGGAACCAGAGCCGGAGCCGGGCUAAGCCAGUUCCCACCUCCCAUCUUGCAGCGCGGACCAGGGCUGACCGUGGCACAGCCUGUGGAUCAUCCACCAGGAGUGCCUGAGGGGACCAGCUUGGACGCAGCCCGUGGGGAGCUGGGCGCGCUCUUCUGGAGCUGGACGGCCUCCAGGGUCCCCUCAGAGUGUCUCCGAUGGGGAGGCUGGACACAGCGUCCCUGCACCAAGGGGGCAGUGCUCUCGUCACAGAGCAGAGGGCCGCACCGCCCGUGUUUGUCUUUCCCAUUGCAGCUUCUCAGGCCCUAGGCCAGGCCUCGUUCCCAUCAGAUAAAGCCUGGGGCGGCCGGACGCAGUGCAAGCAAUCGUGCCUGACUCACAGGAAGGGAGGAAAACAGGAAUUCACGCAGAAGCUGUAAUGUUCCCCCUUGGCCCUGGGAAGGGUGUGAAGGGAUGUGCGGGGGGGCGGCUCUGCCCUUCCUCGCCCCCUUCCAGGUGCCUAGACUUGGGAAGGAGAGGGAUGCCGCCAAGCUCGGGUCCUGCAGGGCCCCGGCCUUCUGGUGUGGGAUCUGACUUGGGAAGGCCCGGCGCUGGGGCUGCUGCUGAAAUUCUUGAGACUGGUUGACAAGGGAUCCCGUGGUUUCAUUUUGCACCGGGCCCCUCCAGGGAUGGAGAGGGUCCUGACUGGCAGUGUCGAAGCCCCGGGGUCUCUCCUUGGUCCCUGGCUCCCCUCACAGCCCUCCCUGCCCAUGGAGCUCCGGGCUUCCACACACAUUUCUCUCCUUUUUAACGGCUCAUUUCUUUGGGUUCAGCAGUACCUGGGUCCCCAGUGCCCUCCUUCUGAGGCUCUCUCCUUUGAGUGGCCACCCUCCCCCCACACACUUGGAGCCCGGAACCGGGAGUGCCGUGGACACCAGCCCUCCCUGGCCCAGACCCUCUGCCUCUCCUGGGCCUCCCAAGAGUAAAACCUCUCCACGCCAGACCAGGCUGCAAACCUGGAUUUGAAACCAGCGCUGUCGCACUCCUUGAACUGUAUCAGGGGUUUUCAGUAGCGGGACCGGAACCAGAACCCAAAAGAGGCUCCUUCCUUGUCUUGAAUUCCUCCCACCUGAGUUAGCAUCUUGGAGGUCAACGUUUCAAGGAAUUCAGUAUCUGAGAAGAGAAAGACACCAAACCGUAGUUCCCCAUGAGGACUUGUUGCUGGAAAAAACAUCUAACUCCAUACAAUGUUUGAAGAGAGUUAUUCUGAGCCAAAUGUGAGAAGCAUGACCGGUGACACAGCUCCAGGGGGUCCUGAGGACAUGUGCCGCAGGGGGUUGGGCCACAGCCCGAGCUCAUACACUACGGGGACAGGAGGUUCAGGCAGAGUCAGUCAAUACUUGACAGAUGUACGUUGGCUCUGCCCAGAAAGGCGGGACGACUUCAAGAGUCCUCCGGAGGCUGAGAGCAAACGGCUGCACUAGGAACCCAGCAGUCAGACCGGCCCCCACCCUGGAGUGAACACAUCGCCACUGCCAGGCAUCGCAGGGAGGAUUACCCCAAUGGCACCUGGCUGGGCGACGAGAACAACCCCGAGAUGCGGGUGCACUGCGCCAUCAUCCCCUCCGACAUGCUGCACAUCAGCACCAACUGCCGCACGGCCGAGGAGAUGGUGCUCACGCUGCUGGACUACCUCUUCCACCGCGAGGUGCAGGCUGUGUCCAGCCUCUCGGGGCAGGGCAAGCACGGGAAGAAGCAGCUGGACCCGCUCACCAUCUAUGGCAUCCGGUGUCACCUUUUCUAUAAAUUUGGCAUCACAGAAUCUGACUGGUACCGAAUCAAGCAGAGCAUCGACUCCAAGUGCCGCACGGCGUGGCGGCGCAAGCAGUGGGGCCAGAGCCUGGUGGUCAAGAGCUUCUCGUGGAGAAUGCCCAACUCAUCCUCCUACUGCCCCUCAGAGCCGAUGAUGAGCACCCCACCUCCUGCCAGAGAGCUCCUGCAGCCACAGCUGCAGCCGCAGGCCCUGCACUACGCGCUGGCCAACGUGCAGCAGGUGCAGAUCCACCAGAUCGGAGAAGACGGACAGGUGCAAGUAGUACGUACCCUCUCCACCUCGCACCUUGGUAAAGGGGGCUGUGGGGUGGGCCACGGCGGGGCCAUGGCGGCUUCCACCAGUUCCGCUGUGUUUCGGGAGCACAGUGAUAGCUUGGGAGGAGGCACAAGGUUCCCAUUUAAAGUAGAGGUCAUCGUGGCCAUGAGCUCUUAACAUUUCACAGGUGGGGGCGGCUGCUGCAGAGCCUAGGGAUUGAAGCACAUGGUGGGGUGGGGCAUUCAGUCAGCUCACCUCAGUCCUGCCAGCAGGCAGGCGGGCAGUCAGCUCCAAGGGUCAGGCCGUGCAGUGGUCCCUGCCCCAGCUCGUGCUCCUGGGAAGCAACGGAAAUAUUUCUCAGCUCAGAAGUGCAGGCGUCCUCUUACUGAGGGAAAGAGUAAUUUCCUUCUAGGAUCAGUGGCAAAAGCUUGAGGUCAUUGUUCCCAUGCAGCGUUUCCCUUGGAGUUACUCAGCACACCCAGGUUGGGCGGGCACUGUCCCAGCAGCAAGUCAAUGUCCUGCCUUGCCCGUGCGGAGUUCUCUGUUGGGGUUUUGUGACCCAAGCUGUGGUCAGUCUGAUGCGCCUAGGGGCUCGCUCCCGGGUGAAGUCCCUCUACAAACACCUCCUGGAUUCUGUGGCACGAGAGUAGGGGGCGGCUGAGAAGAAGACUUUUCUGGAAGCUUUGCUGAGUGACUAGAAAUUUUACAUGUACCACUAGACCUAGCCUGUGUUUUUAGUGGCACCAGCCCCCUUGGGCCCUCUGAAGACAGGUCAUCGUGUGCCUCCGUGUUACCAGGGCUUUCUCCUGGAAACAAGGUCCUCCACUAUUGAGAGUGGGUCGUGGCUCUCAUGUCAGUGUGGCUUCAGCGUGCUGUCUGGAAGAGGGAAGGCUUCCAGAAAAUUCUGGGGCUUUUAGAGGGGGCAUUCCCUUCCUCUUCCAAAGGAGAUGAGACAGUUAUGAAUAGUGAAUCUUAUUUAAUAAGCUUAUUAAUUUGUUUGACAUUCACAAUGGCAGUUCCUCUCAUCUUGUUAGUAAGAAGUUCUUUGAAAGCGUUCCAGAGUAGAUAACUUUGUCAUAAGGCUUACAUAGAACUUUCUACAGGAGUUUAAGAUCCAUUUCAACUAAGAGAGAAUUUCAAAUAAGAUAAGGAGUAUUCAUUUCAUUUACAGGUUUAUAGGAAAUAUUUGUCUGCCCGUAUGUAUAAACAGUGGAUUCUUUGAUUUUUUUUGAAUCACAUUUGUUAGUGUUUCCUCAAACUGUUUAAAUAGUCAUAUGAGUGUUUCUUUGAUUUGAAAAACGUUGCCUGCCCUGUUGUGAGUGUAGGCACGCAAACAGCUCCCCUGCUUCAGCCACACACUGCUUGUGUAGCCUCCCAGCAUCCCCAGAGAGCUGAACGUAUCAUUUGAAAAGAGGCGUCAUUGUGAUUUUCUAUUUCCCCUCUUUUCUGUGUGUCAUGCACAUUUUAAAAUUUACUUGUUUAGUAACAUUUAAAGAUGUAUAUAUCUUUCCUGGGACCUAUUGCUCCUUUGUGAAGUACUGGAACAUGUUCUGUGUUACACAGUACCCCCCCUUACCCAUGCUUCCACUUUCCUAGGUUUUAAUUACCCACAGUCAACUGUGAUCUGAAAAUAUUAGAUGAGAAAUUCCAGAAAUAAACAAUUUGUAAGUUUCAGAUUGCAUACUCUUCUGGGUAGUACCAUGAUGAAGUCUGGUCGUCCUGCUGUGUCCAGCCCGGGAUGUGAGUCAUUCCUUUGUCCAGCAUGUCCAAGCUGUGUGGCACGUAUGGGCAGGAAAAAGCAUAGCAUAUACGGGGUUCAGCACCAUCCACGGUUUCUGACGUCCACAUGGUGGGGGGAGGGGGCGCUUCUUGAAACCCUCAUGGAUGAGGGGGACUACUGUGAACCAAAAGCUUAAUUUAAAGAGGUGACCACAGACUAUAUUGCACUAUUCAGGAUUUAGUUAUCUUUUUGAAUUGUAAACAGAUAAUCAAGAACAAACAUUCCGGAAGAUGUUUCUUGUUUCCUUUGCUUUUUAUUUUCUUCUGAUGCUUCUUGGUGUCUUUUCUUACUGCGGAUCCCACAGGGACACCUCCACAUCGCCAAGGUGCCACAGGGGGAGCAAGUCCAGAUCACGCAGGACAGCGAGGUGAGUCAUCUCUCGCUGCAGCCCUGUCCCUGCAGGCACUGUGCCCGCAUGCUCCCGACCUUCAUCAGUGUCACAGUGUGAGGGCAGCAGGGAGCCCCCAGGAUGGGGAACGUGGGCGAGGGCUGCAGGACUCCGCUUCCAGGGUGCACAUAGUGGGCCUGCAGUCUCUGUGGCCUCACUGCCUCCCCCUCCUGUCCGUUGGUCUCCACAGCUUCUGGUCUGUCUUGGCAAAGAUCUCCUGGGUAGAUGUUUCUGCUCCUGGCUGGAAGUGCCCUCUGAGUACCCUUCUCUCCCUGUCUGGCCCUGCCCUUCCUGCCAGGGGAGGGCCCCAGUGUGGCCGAGAUGGGGUCUGCCCCUGCACAGGUGACCUGACAUACCCCCUCACCUGCCAUGUGGCCCCAGCUUCCUGGUGGCCUCUACAGGAUUAGUGCCGAUUUCAUAGGAUGGUGGGGAAUCCCACAAGGUGAUGCUGCCAGUCCUGAGAGCUGGUCAUAGCCCUGACGCACCUGCCGUGUCUGUGAUUGUCUCAGUUUCUGGAGCUCUACCCAGCCACGCACUCAGAAGUGCGGGCUCAGCUGCUGUUGGGGUCUGGAAUGUGAAGGCGGGAGUGACAGUCUGAGUUCUUGGAAAGCCGAGGCCGGCCGGUUGCGAUGCUCCGUGUUUGCGUACCAGAGCAGGACUGUCUUCCGGGUGGCUGGUGACCGUCCUUCGACUCUGGGCUGUUUCCUGCAGCACAGGCAGCAGCAGGCACAGGGCACUAAGCAGCACACACGUGUUGUACUGAGUGACCGUGGUGCGCUCUGGGGGAUGAGGAACAUGGCUGUUUCUAGGUGGUGACAAUGGCACCAGCUUUGUGUUUGGUGCAUAGUAGUGUGUCGCUACGAAGAUCUCAGGCUUCCCCACACACACCAGCAGCAGAGACUAGGAAGCCCAGGUGCUGAGGUCAAGGGGACUCAUGGACAUGUUGGCGUGCGAGGCCUCCCGGGAGCUCAUGCUGGGUACAGGUGCUGUGGGGGAGCAGAGGAGAGAGAAGCCCUGCCUUCGGGGACUCACAGUGGGCACAGAGCCUCCUGCCCAAGUGCCCGUGAGCAAGACUGUGGACACAUGCACGCCGUGGCACGUGGAGCACCAGGGACUUAGGUGUGUCUGCUGGCAGUGGCUUUAAUUUGGACACCAGCAGUUCCCAGUGGGUUAUCCUGAGAGGGGAGCACAUGCAUAAGGGUUCCAGGGGUGGAAUGAGGAUGAGGUGAAAGGGGAGGAAUGAAUUCAUGUGGGGGCCAUGAGCGACUGGGAAUGAGUGGGCUCAUCCACACAGCGACAUGACCAGGUCACUAAGAAACAUGUGGUCAGAUGGAUGGAUGGAAGGAAGCACCAGGGCGGGGAGCAGGUAGGGGACGGUCCCAGGAGGCCAGAGUGUCCAGGAAGG